AUCGCUUCUCGGCCUUUUGGCUAAGAUCAAGUGUAAAAUAGCUUAACAUAAUUUUUUAACAUUGAAAAUUUGUUUUUUUUAAAUGUACACCUUUAAAAACAUAUGUAGUUUUGGGCCGGGGAUUUAGCUCAGUGGUUUCGCUGCCU
ensembl:snRNA U2 U2 spliceosomal RNA